rnacentral:rRNA from 1 species
UGGGGAAUUUUCCACAAUGGGCGAAAGCCUGAUGGAGCGACGCCGCGUGGAGGAUGACGCCUUUCGGGGUGUAAACUCCUUUUCUCAGUGACGAAGCAAGUGACGGUAGCUGAGGAAUAAGCACCGGCUAACUACGUGCCAGCAGCCGCGGUAAGACGUAGGGUGCAAGCGUUGUCCGGAGUUACUGGGCGUAAAGGGCGCGUAGGCGGUGCGUCGCGUCGCACGUGAAAGCCCCCGGCUCAACCGGGGAGGGUCGUGCGAUACGGGCGUACUGGUGGCAGCGAGAGGCGAGUGGAAUUCCCGGUGUAGUGGUGAAAUGCGUAGAUAUCGGGAGGAACACCAGAGGCGAAGGCGGCUCGCUGGCGCUGACCUGACGCUGAGGCGCGAAGGCGUGGGGAGCGAACGGGAUUAGAUACCCGUGUAGUCC